UUUGUCUAUUCUGGGCGACAGUCUUUUAACUUUUAAACCAACGUGGAACAUGUCUGAACAUGUCAAACUCUAUAAGCCCAUAUGUUAAAAAUGUUCAAAGGAGAAAUAAAUGCUAUGUAGCUACAAGUGUUAAAAGCCGGUUACCAUGCCAACCAACAAGGUUCAGGUCAUCUGUAGCCACAGCAGAGCUGAUGUUGGGUUACAGCCGUCCUCUGGGGGACUUUCAAGCCUUCCUGGUCCCUUAAUGUUCAUAGUGGGACACUAUCACUUAAAGUGGAGACACGUUACACGGGCUGCUCUCACGGCAAGCCACCGUCCUCUCCUCUCCUCUCCUUCCCACGGAUGCUGCUGCUGCUGCCGCCGCUGAGUCUCGCACACAUCCCGGUGUAGGAGGAAGAGGAGGAGGAGAUGGGGGUUUUCCCAAAGGAUUGUCCCGCACAUCUAUUUUUAGCAGAGGCAAUUUGUUCAGACACUGUGGGAUCAGG